ACUCCUACGGGAGGCAGCAGUGAGGAAUAUUGGUCAAUGGGCGCAAGCCUGAACCAGCCAUGCCGCGUGCAGGAUGAAGCAUCUAUGGUGUGUAAACUGCUUUUGUACGGGAAGAAACAGAGAUUCGUGAAUCUCCUUGACGGUACCGUAAGAAUAAGGAUCGGCUAACUCCGUGCCAGCAGCCGCGGUAAUACGGAGGAUCCAAGCGUUAUCCGGAAUCAUUGGGUUUAAAGGGUCCGUAGGCGGCCUUAUAAGUCAGCGGUGAAAUCUCCCGGCUCAACCGGGAAAUGGCCAUUGAUACUGUAGGGCUUGAAUUACUAGGAAGUAACUAGAAUAUGUAGUGUAGCGGUGAAAUGCUUAGAGAUUACAUGGAAUACCAAUUGCGAAGGCAGGUUACUACUAGUGGAUUGACGCUGAUGGACGAAAGCGUGGGUAGCGAACAGGAUUAGAUACCCUGGUAGUCCACGCCGUAAACGAUGGAUACUAGCUGUUGGGCGCAAGUUCAGUGGCUAAGCGAAAGUGAUAAGUAUCCCACCUGGGGAGUACGUUCGCAAGAAUGAAACUCAAAGGAAUUGACGGGGGCCCGCACAAGC
rnacentral:rRNA from 1 species